UACAGAGGGGGCAAGCGUUAUUCGGAAUUAUUGGGCGUAAAGGGCGCGUAGGCGGCUUGGCAAGUGGAUGGUGAAAUCCCUCGGCCUAACCGAGGAACGGCCGUCCAAACUGCUUCGCUUGAGACCGGGAGAGGUGAGUGGAAUUCCCAGUGUAGCGGUGAAAUGCGUAGAUAUUGGGAGGAACACCAGUGGCGAAGGCGGCUCACUGGACCGGUACUGACGCUGAAGCGCGAAAGCGUGGGGAGCAAACGGG
rnacentral:rRNA from 1 species